rnacentral:rRNA from 1 species
AUUGAACGCUGGCGGCAGGCCUAACACAUGCAAGUCGAGCGGUAGAGGGGUGCUUGCAUCUCUUGAGAGCGGCGGACGGGUGAGUAAUGCCUAGGAAUCUGCCUGGUGGUGGGGGAUAACGUUCGGAAACGGACGCUAAUACCGCAUACGUCCUACGGGAGAAAGCGGGGGAUCUUCGGACCUCGCGCCAUUAGAUGAGCCUAGGUCGGAUUAGCUAGUUGGUGAGGUAAUGGCUCACCAAGGCGACGAUCCGUAACUGGUCUGAGAGGAUGAUCAGUCACACUGGAACUGAAACACGGUCCAGACUCCUACGGGAGGCAGCAGUGGGGAAUAUUGGACAAUGGGCGAAAGCCUGAUCCAGCCAUGCCGCGUGUGUGAAGAAGGUCUUCGGAUUGUAAAGCACUUUAAGUUGGGAGGAAGGGUCGUAACCUAAUACGUUACGGCUUUGACGUUACCGACAGAAUAAGCACCGGCUAACUUCGUGCCAGCCGCCGCAGUAACAC